rnacentral:rRNA from 1 species
UUUAUUAAAGGGCUGCAGUAUUUUGACUGUACAAAGGUAGCAUAAUCAAUAGUCUCUUAAUUAGUGACUUGUAUGAAAGAUUGGAUGAAAUAUAUUCUGUCUCUAAUUAAUUUAUAGAAAUUAAUUUUUUAGUAAAAAAGCUAAAAUAAUUUUAAAAGACGAGAAGACCCUAUAGAGUUUAAUAAUUUAUUUAAUUAUUAUUAAUAUAUAAUUUUUAAAAUUAAAAUUAAAUAAAUUAUUUUGUUGGGGUGAUAGAAAAAUUAAAUUAACUUUUUUUAUUUAUUAACAUUAAUUUAUGAUUAGAUGAUCCAUUAAUAAUGAUUAAAAGAAAAAAUUACCUUAGGGAUAACAGCGUAAUUUUUUUUUUUAUUUCAAAUAGGAAAAAAAGUUUGCGACCCCGAGGUGGGAUAAGGAUAAAAUUCAAAUGCAAAAGUUUAAAAUUU